GGGUCUGAAAGCGAAGAAGUUUUUCAAACCGUCUUAGCCCACAAAACGAAUUGUUGUGAUUGUUUGAGAUCGUGUAUUCAUAUGGCAGCCUUGCAAGCUGUCACAGAUCUCUCUGUCACGAUUCGUUUUGUGAGCUAAGAAGGUUUGAAGAAGAGUAUUCUCCAUGUUGU
rnacentral:pre_miRNA from 1 species